UUAAGCGACUAAGCGUACACGGUGGAUGCCCGCAGUCAGAGGCGAUGAAGGACGUGCUAAUCUGCGAAAAGCGUCGGUAGGGUGAUAUGAACCGUUAUAACCGGCGAUGUCCGAAUGGGGAAACCCAGUGCGUUGCACUAUCGUUAACUGAAUACAUAGGUUAACGAGGCGAACCGGGAACUGAAACAUCUAAGUCCCGAGAGAAAUCAACCGAGAUUCCCCAGUAGCGGCGAAGCGAACGGGGAGCAGCCCAGAGUCUGAAUCAUUGUGUGUUAGUGGAACGGUCUGGAAAGUCCGACGGUACAGGGUGAUAGUCCCGUACACCAAAAUGCACAGGUUGUGAACUCGAAGAGUAGGGCGGACACGUGGUAUCCUGUCUGAAAGGACCAUCUCCAGGCUAAAUACCCUGACUGACCGAUAGUGAACCAGUACCGUGAGGGAAAGGCGAAAAGAACCCCGGCGAGAGAAAAGUAACCUGAAACCGUGUACGCGCAGUGGGAGCACCUUCGGUGUGACUGCGUACCUUUUGUAUAAUGGGUCAGCGACUUAUAUUCUGUAGCAAGGUUAACCGUAUAGGGAGCCGCAGGAAACCGAGUCUAACUGGGCGUUGUUGCAGGGUAUAGACCCGAAACCCGGUGAUUCAGCCAUGGGCAGGUAGUUAGGUUGGUAACACUAACUGGAGGACCGAACCGACUAAUGUUGAAAAUUAGCGGAUGACUUGUGGCUGGGGUGAAAGGCCACCAAACCGGGAGAUAGCUGGUUCUCCCGAAAGCUAGGUAGCGCCUCGUGAAUUCAUCUUCGGGGUAGAGCACUGUUUCGGCUAGGGGGUCAUCCCGACUUACCAACCCGAUGCAAACUACGAAUACCGAAGAAUGUUAUCACGGAGACACACGGCAGUAACGCCCGUCGAAGAAGAGGAAACAACCCAGACCGCCAGCUAAGGUCCCAAAGUCAUGGUUAAGGGAAACGAUGGGAAGGCACAGACAGCCGAGAGCUUAGAAGCAGCCAUCAUUUAAAGAAAGCGUACAGCUCACUGGUCGAGUCGGCCUGCGCGGAAGAUGUAACCAAACCAUGCACCGAAGCUGCGGCAGCGACACUAUGUGCGUUACGGGGAGCGUUGUAAGCCUGCGAAGGUGACCCGUGAGGGUUGCUGGAGGUAUCAGAAGUGCGAAUGCCGACAUAAGUAACGAUGCUGGUGAAAAGCCCGCUCGCCGGAAGACCGGUUCCUGUCCAACGUUAAUCGGGCAGGUGAGUCGACCCUGGCGAGGCCGAAAGGCGUAGUCGAUGGGAAACAGGUUAAUAUUCCUGUACUGACAUAAGUAACGAUGGGUGAAAAGCCCGCUCGCCGGAAGACCAAGGGUUCCUGUCCAACGUUAAUCGGGGCAGGUGAGUCGACCCUGAAGGCGAGGCCGAAAGGCGUACGAUGGGAAACAGGUUAAUAUUCCUGUACUGGGAAACAGGUUAAUAUUCCUGUACUUGGUGUUACUGCGAAGGGGGACGGAGAAGGCUAUGUUAGCCGGGCGACGGUUGUCCCGGUUUAAGCAUGUAGGCUGGUUAUUGUGCAAAUCCGGAUAAUCAAGGCUGAGGUGUGAUGACGAGGCACUACGGUGCUGAAGUAACAAAUGCCCUGCUUCCGGGAAAAGCCUCUAAGCAUCAGGUAACAUCAAAUCGUACCCAAACCGACACAGGUGGUCAGGUAGAGAAUACCAAGGCGCUUGAGAGAACUCGGGUGAAGGAACUAGGCAAAUGGUGCCGUAACUUCGGAGAAGGCACGCUGGUGUGUAGGUGAAGUCCCUGCGGAUGGAGCUGAGACCAGUCGAAGAUACCAGCUGGCUGCAACUGUUUAUUAAAACACAGCACUGUGCAAACACGAAAGUGGACGUAUACGGUGUGACGCCUGCCCGGUGCCGGAAGGUUAAUUGAUAUCGGGAGAAGCUCUUGAUCGAAGCCCCGGUAAACGGCCGUAACUAUAACGGUCCUAAGGUAGCGAAAUUCCUUGUCGGGUAAGUUCCGACCUGCACGAAUGGCGUAAUGAUGGCCGCUGUUCCACCCGAGACUCAGUGAAAUUGAACUCGCUGUGAAGAUGCAGUGUACCCGCGGCAAGACGGAAAGACCCCGUGAACCUUUACUAUAGCUUGACACUGAACAUUGAGCCUUGAUGUGUAGGAUAGGGGAGGCUUUGAAGCGUGGACGCCAGUCUGCGUGGAGCCAACCUUGAAAUACCACCCUUUAAUGUUUGAUGUUCUAACGUUGGCCCUUACCGGGGUUGCGGACAGUGUCUGGGGUAGUUUGACUGGGGCGGUCUCCUCAAAGCGUAACGGAGGAGCACGAAGGUUAGCUAAUCCGGUCGGACAUCAGGAGGUUAGUGCAAUGGCAUAAGCAGCUUGACUGCGAGCGUGACGGCGCGAGCAGGUGCGAAAGCAGGUCAUAGUGAUCCGGUGGUUCUGAAUGGAAGGGCCAUCGCUCAACGGAUAAAGGUACUCCGGGAUAACAGGCGAUACCGCCCAAGAGUUCAUAUCGACGGCGGUGUUUGCACCUCGAUGUCGGCUCAUCACAUCCUGGGCUGAAGUAGGUCCAAGGGUAUGGCUGUUCGCCAUUUAAAGUGGUACGCGAGCGUCGGCUCAUCACAUCCUGGGCUGAAGUAGGUCCAAGGGUAUGGCUGUUCGCCAUUUAAAGUGGUACGCGAGCUGUUCGCCAUUUAAAGUGGUACGCGAGCUGGGUUUAGAACGUCGUGAGACAGUUCGGUCCCUAUCUGCCGUGGGCGCUGGAGAAUUGAGGGGCUGCUCCUAGUACGAGAGGACCGGAGUGGACGCAUCACUGGUGUUCGUUGUCAUGCCAAUGGCACUGCCCGGUAAGCAUCUAAGCACGAAACUUGCCCCGAGAUGAGUUCUCCUGAGACUUUAAGUCUCCUGAAGGAACGUUGAAGACGACGACGUUGAUAGGCCGGUGUGUAAGCGCAGCGAUGCGUUGAGCUAACCGGUACUAAUGAACCGUGAGGCUUAACCUU
rnacentral:rRNA from 1 species